rnacentral:misc_RNA from 1 species
GAAAUGCGAUAAUUAAUGUGAAUUGCAGAAUUCAGUGAAUCAUCGAGUCUUUGAACGCACAUUGCGCCCCCUGGUAUUCCGGGGGGCAUGCCUGUCCGAGCGUCAUUGCUGCCCUCAAGCACGGCUUGUGUGUUGGGCUUCCGUCCCUGGCAACGGGGACGGGCCCAAAAGGCAGUGGCGGCACCAUGUCUGGUCCUCGAGCGUAUGGGGCUUUGUCACCCGCUCCCGUAGGUCCAGCUGGCAGCUAGCCUCGCAACCAAUCUUUUUAACCAGGUUGACCUCGUAUCAGGUAGGGAUACCCGCUGAACUUAAGC